UACGUAGGGGGCUAGCGUUGUCCGGAUUUAUUGGGCGUAAAGAGCGUGUAGGCGGCCAGGUAGGUCUGCUGUGAAAACUCGAGGCUCAACCUCGAGACGUCGGCGGAAACCAUCUGGCUAGAGUCCGGAAGAGGAGACUGGAAUUCAUGGUGUAGCAGUGAAAUGCGUAGAGAUCAUGAGGAAGACCAGUGGCGAAGGCGGGUCUCUGGACAGUUCCUGACACUGAGGCACGAAGGCCAGGGGAGCAAACGGG
rnacentral:rRNA from 1 species